CCUACGGGAGACAGCAGUGGGGAAUAUUGCACAAUGGGGGGAACCCUGAUGCAGCAAUGUCGCGUGGGUGAAGAAGCACUUCGGUGCGUAAAGCCCUGUCAGCAGGGAAGAAAAUGACAGUACCUGGGCAAGAAGCCCCGGCUAACUACGUGCCAGCAGCCGCGGUAUUACGGAGGGGGCAAGCGUUAUCCGGAUUUACUGGGUGGAAAGGGGGCGCAGGCGGCGUGGCAAGUCAGAUGUGAAAACCCGGGGCCCAACCCCGGGAGUGCAUUUGAAACUGCCAUGCUGGAGUGCCGGAGAGGUAAGCGGAAUGCCUAGUGUAGCGGUGAAAUGCGUAGAUAUCACGCAGAACUCCGAUUGCGAAGGCAGCGUACCGGCGCCCAACUGACGCUGAAGCACGAAGGCGUGGGUAUCGAACAGGAUUAGAUACCCGAGUAGUC
rnacentral:rRNA from 1 species